rnacentral:rRNA from 1 species
GACGAACGCUGGCGGCGUGCUUAACACAUGCAAGUGGAGCGACGAACCGGUCUUCGGACCGGGGCAGAGCCGCGAACGGGUGAGUAACACGUGGGUAACCCACCCCGAUGACCGGGACAACCCGAGGAAACUCGGGCUAAUACCGGAUGAGCUCUCAUCUCUUGAGAGAUGUGAGGAAAGAUAGCUUCGGCCUUCGCAUCGGGACGGGCCCGCGGCCCAUUAGCUUGUUGGUGGGGUAACGGCCUACCAAGGCGACGAUGGGUAGCUGGUCUGAGAGGACGAUCAGCCACACUGGGACUGAGACACGGCCCAGACUCCUACGGGAGGCAGCAGUGGGGAAUCUUGCACAAUGCGCGAAAGCGUGAU